rnacentral:SRP_RNA from 1 species
GGUGACCCUAUCGGUCCCCCCGCAACGAUUACCCGUGAACCUGGUCAGAGCCGGAAGGCAGCAGCCACAGCGGGAACAUUGUGUGCCGGGGUGUGGCUGGUAGGGUUACCACCUUAA